GGCCAGGUAGCAUAGUGGUUGGCACUGUCGCCUCACAGCAAGAAGGUCGUUGGUUCAAAUCCGACCUGGGACC